AAGCCAGUUCAGUGUUCCGCUCAACUGGAAAGUGUUUAGCGGAGCUUAUUUCACUAUAACACUGGCAGAGUAAAGCCACAGUACGAGCCUGGAAGACUCUGUGUUCUCUGAGGUCCCAAGAGAUGGCUACAUCU